UACAGAGGGUGCAAACGUUGUUCUGAAUUAUUGGGCGUAAAGCGCGUGUAGACGGCUUAGCAAAUCGAGCGUGAAAACCCUCAGCUCAACCGAAGAAAUACACCCAAAACUGCUGAGCUUGAGUGCCGGAGAGGAUGGCGGAAUACCCCAAGUAGAGGUGAAAUUCGUAGAUAUGGGAUGGAACACCAAUGGCGAAGGCGGCCAUCUGGACGGUAACUGACGCUGAGACGCGAAAGCGUGGGGAGCAAACAGG
rnacentral:rRNA from 1 species